rnacentral:tRNA from 1 species
GAGCCCGUAGCUCAGUCUGGUUAGAGCGCCGGUCUUAUAAGCCGGAGGUCCCGAGUUCAAAAUAACCAGGAUAAACUGGCAUGAAAAUCUCGGCGGGCUCA